GCCCUAAAGGAUCAGACUGUGGCAUUGUAAACGUCAAUAUUCCAACAAGUGGGGCUGAGAUUGGAGGUGCAUUUGGAGGAGAAAAGCACACUGGUGGUGGCAGGGAAUCUGGCAGUGAUGCCUGGAAGCAGUACAUGAGGAGAUCUACUUGUACCAUCAACUACAGUAAGGACCUUCCUCUGGCCCAAGGAAUCAAGUUUCAGUGAAGGUAUUUUAGACCAACAUUACUUGAAGUCUUGCUGCUGCUUCUGAAGAAAACAAUAUUUGCCUUGAAUAAAUAUCAUUUUGAAUAUGACAGUGGCUAAUCUCCUAGGACCCCAAAGCCCUGACUAAAUCAAGAGACUUAUUUUUUAAAAAUCAAAUAAAAUUGUCACAAUAUAGCCAUCUUUAGUAAAAGAUGAGUUGGAUUUUUA